GAUAUUUCUCUUCCUCCUCCUCCGCCUAUCCCCUCGCCCAGAUCCCCUUUCCCCUCCUUCCGAGCUCCCCGCCAUGGACGCCACGCCGGCGUAGCCACAGCCACCACCGCCCCGAGCCCCUCCGACGCGUUCACCAGCAUCUCCGUUGUCGGCCACAUCUUCGUCGUCCCUGUCCACCUUGACCACCACCGCGACCCGCUAUCGACUCGCUGCUCCGACGUCUCCCGGUCCUCCCCGAGCUCGCAUUCGCACGACUACAGGGCCCCAUGCUGGAGCCCAGGAGCCAGACGCCACCGUCGACGAUGACUCUUACUACACUAGAGGUGCCUACUACUGCGUGCAGGCUGCUGACAACGACCAGGAGUAGUUUAGGAGGAUCCCAGGCAGGAGGCCUGCGCCUCUUUCGAUCUGUAUCCCAGUUUGUGCUAGCCAUCUUAUGGCAACUUGUUUAACUUAUGUCUGUACUCAGAUAUUGUUGCUUCCGCUGACUCGUCUAUGAUCAAGCACUUGUAUUCGAGCCCUUGAGGCCCCUGGCUUGUAUUAUGAUGCUUGUAUGACUUAUUUUUAUUUUAGAGUUGUGUUGUGAUA